rnacentral:rRNA from 1 species
UACGGGGGGGGCAAGCGUUGUUCGGAAUUACUGGGCGUAAAGGGUUCGUAGGUGGCCUGCUAAGUCAGACGUGAAAUCCCUCAGCUUAACUGGGGAACUGCGUCUGAGACUGGUGGGCUUGAGUGCAGGAGAGGAACGCGGAAUUCCAGGUGUAGCGGUGAAAUGCGUAGAUAUUCGGAAGAACACCAGUGGCGAAGGCGGCUCACUGGACUGGUAUUGACGCUGAGGUGCGAAAGCGUGGGGAGCAAACAGG